UCCGCCAUGGAUGGCGGUGGUUAAAACCCUGUCGAGUUUUUUGCGUAGCAAAAACACUCGAGAUAAAAAAUGUACACGGACGUACAUUUUUUAUCGGUC
rnacentral:sRNA from 1 species